GACUCUGAGUGUCUCCAGGGACAAGGAUCCACCACCUCUCCAGGUAAUACAGCAGUGAAAAGCUGGAUAUUUAUGAUUCCUUGGUUAUGUUCUCUAGGCUUUGGGAAUGGUCUGCAGUAUGGUUUUCCAACAGAAAUUGCAUGCAACCACAGGACAUGCCAAUAAUUCCAUUCUUCAGAUGUACAAAAGAGACUUUUCAAGAAAAACAGUUUUGCAAGCACAAGUCACUGUGGGUCUCUUGGCAACUGAUGCACUGUGGGAUUUGGAAAAUCUCAUCAAGAUCAUGCCAAAGCUGAUCUGGAAAUAUCUGUCCUCCUUUAUUUGGGAGUAAACUGUAACCAGCCAAGUUCAGCUACCUUUUCUUGCAUACCCUGAUUGAGUUUGGUCCUCUCUCCUGUCAUCCAGAGUACCCACCAUACAGAAGGACCUGUGAUUUGCAGUGGGAUCUGAGGUGAACUGUCACUAAAGGAGUGAUAGACAAAGAGGCGUUGAUGUGGAAGACAAAACUUUCUUCUGUGAUUGGACUUCUAGGCAUCACAAAGUUUAAUAGAACAACUUCUAGAACAGUCGUGUUGCAAACUUGGUGCCCCUCAUGGGAGGAGGUUGAGAGGGUGAGACAGAUGGUUGCCACGUAACAGACCAAGAUUUUCAAGAGGUUCUGGGAGUCAUAAAAAAACAGCGUUAAGACCCAUGAUGACCAAAACAUUUCAAAGUGAUUACUGGAUACUGCAAAGGAAGUAGUGGAGUCUAACAUAAUGAAAACAGGAAUAAAAAAAAAAAGAGAGAAAACUUCAGCUGAAGACCAAGUAAAAGUAAAGAUGGAUAGGUGCAUAAAAUGACAAGACAGCAUGAAAAGCAAGCACUGACAAUGAGGGUACCUUGGCAUGUGGUCUUGGAUAGCACAUCCUGUGCAGAAGGGGCAGCAUGGAAGGUGACACUGAGGCACCUGUGUGGUUUUGAAGAAGGAGGCAGGAGAUACGGACAGAUUGGAAUGCACGUGGCCAGUAUGAUGUUCAUAAGAAAAGUAAGUCUCCAGAAAAUAUUUAAGAUGGUUCAGCAAGGUAAGUGGAAUUUAGAAUAAUGUUCCAAGCCUGCUGGGACAUUAGAGCAUUUGUAACUGUUUGUAGAAAUUGUCCAUAAAGCCCAAAACAUAAACAAAGAGAUGCCUGAGGAAGAGUGAGGACAGGUCAAAUAUAUGUGCUACUUCCACUCUAGUCUUUUUCAGGCUCUGACUAUAUUCUCAGAGACGUCCCUGAACAUGCCUGUGCCUAACCUGCUUUAUAAUCUGUGGUGCAUUUCUACACACACUUGUUUGCUUUUAAAUCUCUACAACUUUCUUACUGUCACAGUUUCCUUUGGCACUGGGUUCCAUAGGUCUGAUCUAUUCACUGCAUUGAGAACCAUACAUUACAUUUAUUUUGUAUCAGUUUCCUAUUUUUUUUUUUUUUUGGUGACUAUCAAACAAAAAUGAAUUAAAAAAAUUAAAUAUUAAAAGAAAAUGUUUCCACAGAACUGUGUGCUUCAGUCUGUCUCCUGAGAGGUAAUGGCCAGUUCAGAGUUCAUCCUUCUAUCUGUGGUUGUAUUCUUAUGUGCCUGCUGUCAGACACUUCUUUCCAAAAGUCAACAUAAAAAAAGAUUCCUAUCAAUUUUGUAGGAGUCACACCUCCUCAGGCUGUGGUCAUCAUAGAUCUGCAGGUAGUGCAGACAUAUUCUUGUUAGACAUGGGAGGUUUCAAGUUCACAAAGAGUUCAGUGAAUUGAUGCUCUUGGAUUCUGACACAAAGCUGAAGGGACCAUCUUGUAGCCCACCAUCAGACUGCUGUGCUCUGGUAAGUUUUUGUCAGAGUCUUUCCUCUCACUUCAUCCUGACUUGGAGAUCUGUCAUUUCAAGGUGUGGUUUUUAUGGUGUUACUCAACUUCCAGUGUGCUCCUUCAUUCAAAAGCAGCAGGAUCUUCUUUUUUGCUCUCAGCCUGGCUUUCUGAUUCCAAACCAAAACAAACACAAGUUUGAAGAAUUGCAGCACUUGCUUCUGUGAUAUUUGAAAUAUAACUGCAGAUUGUUCACAGCUCUGUCCUCUGGGGGUAAAUGCUACAGAUGUUUGAGGGGUAUUCCUGGUUCAAUUUGAUGUCCUUUGUCUAAUGCAGUUUUUAAGUGAUUCUGCAAUUUCUUGAUCACUAAUAAUCAGUCUUUGCAAUGUGGGAUUCUUUACUGUUGUAUUCUCGAUCUUGACUAGGAGUAGAGAGGCAAUAGCUCCUUGUAAUCAACCAGAAUUCGUAAUACAGAGUUUGUUGUACUUUUGCUUUCAUGUCCUUCCACCUUUAUGUCAGGUCUGGGGGGGACAGACAAUGAGACUCAGUAAAAAUCCUAAUACAAGAUUAAUAAAUUUGAAUCAGCAGAAAGAUUGCUCUUGAUUAAGCGGUAGAGGCCCUGGAGACGGAUCUUUUGCAGAAAGAGGCAGUUUCCUAGAUACAUAGAGCUGUGGUUGCCCCAUGAUAAUUAAAUAUAAAAGUAGCAUAUAUAUUCUGUAAAUCUCAUGGCUUCUUCUACAUUAUGAGGUUGCUAGUGAAGCUUCAUGUUGAGUAAGUAUGGCAUAUCUGGGCCAGAUCCUGUAUCUUCUCUCAGUGGGAGUAGUGGCCGUAUAAGAGAGAAUACAAGACAUAGUUCCUGAGUCAAAGGUACUGUCUUUGAGCUUAAAAGUAAGCAAUAUGGAGUGCAGGUGUGGCAGCAAGCACUUUGUUCAUCCUGCCUCAUCUGGUGUGUGCACUGCAGGCAGGAUCUGUUUAUAGCCCAUCUUCAAAGUGCUACACUGAUAGCAUUGUGUGUAUGGCCAAGGACUAUAAUGUUGCAGACCACUGUACUUAAUAUGAUUCAUCUGGACAAAAGGUGAAACUCUGACCCAAAUAAGUCAAAUCAGCUUUCUUGUUUCUGAAGAUUGAAUUGUUGUGUCUUCAUCUUGAAUUGCUAAGUAAAUGCUUUAAAAGGCUGUUGUAAAAAUCAUUCUUACCAAAGCAGUUUUAGUUGACUACCCUGCCUUGUUCUAGUUGGUAUUAGAAUAAAACGAGUAAAGGUUUGAUAAGGAUUUCAAGCAGGUAGCCCACGCUAUUCAUUUUACAUGAAUGGUCAUGUCUGUUUAGCUAUUAAUUACCUUGCCCUUUGGUACAGUUGCUAACUAAAGUCUAAUUUAUUCCUGCUUUUAUUAAAAGCAAGUGUACUUAGUGCUGUAAUGAUAAGCAACAGAGUAAAUCCACUGUGGAAGAGAAUUACAGCUGCAGCCGGAGGAGAUCAACAUAACAUAUUUUGGUGGAAGAGAAUGGUAGUUUAAUAAAAUAUGAAACAGGAUUAAUGUUGCAUAUGACCUUAAAAUACUGUAUAACAAAGAGCAGAAUGGCAGUUAUACAUAUAGCAGUAACUGGCUGAUGGUGAGUGCCUGGAAGUUUUAAAAAGAUGAUCAAAACGGUAUAAAAGGCGCUAAAUUCAGAAUGAUUGGGUUCAUAUAAUUUAAUGUGAAUGUUAGCUUCCCAGAGAAGUAAACAAAAAUAAACUCAAUUAUUUCUUCCAUUCUGUAAAAACUUAAGUAAUUUGGUUUUGGGAAGAGAAAUUGAGUAAAGCAAAUUUUACUGUGUUCAACAAGGGUGUUAAAACGGCCGCGGCUGGCUGGCAGUCUCUCAGGCUGACUUUCCGUUCUCAUGCAAACUGGCUCUGUCUCCAUUCCAGACACUGUGCCAGGCACUAGGGGAGUCCAUGUGGCAGGCUGUCCUCUUCUGCUGGGAGCAGUCCAUGACCUCAGCAUAGUAGUGCACAUGCUGAGUAACUCGUACAAACAGCAGAUGAUUUCUUGGUGGUGUGUUCUUGGAGGUGGCUAGCCAAGCGCUAAUGCUGGGGAACACAGUCUGCCUCCAGCAGGUUCUCCCAGCACUCCGAGGGCAAUAAGUUGUAUUUUUCCCAAGACCUCACCAUCUAUAUUUAUAAAUGCUCAUUUAUUUCAUAAUCUCUAGAAAUCUUCUCAUCUGCCUUAGUUCAACUGAGGAGUUAUGUAAAAGAUCCUUUCCUUGUCAUUUUGUAGUAACCUUUUUGUUUAUUAUCUAAUUCACAGCAAAACCAUGCAAAGCAUCCAAAGAGGUAAUACUGAGAUUUGCUUAUAUUCACUGUAAAAAAAAUAAGGUAUUACAUGAAUGGUUUUUGCCUGAACUAUCAUUCACCUUCUGUUAUGCUGAGUUUUAAGAUGUGUGCAUUGGAAUUACACUUCGAUUUUUUGCUAGAAUUUAAGAUACAUUUAUCAUUAGCAGUACCUGGCCUUAUACUAACAUAUAUUCCAUAUUAGCUGCGCUUCAAUUUUGUAAAUGCUUACUCUUUUAUUAGGUGUAUGCAGUAAUCAUAUGCCCAUGGGUAUCAAGGUCUUGUUUUGCUUAAAUCAUAAAUUGUUUUCCUCAAAUGCCAUUUGUUUAUGCUACACUUGCAGUGCAAGCACAACAGUCUGUGAUGCUUGUAAAAAAACAUGUCAAAAACGUAUGCUAAAAUGAGGGAUUUCAGGGCAUUUGGUGGACCUGCUGAGCUGCAUCUAAGUUAGGAGCAUGCAAGCAGUCACCGAGCUCCCAGAACACAUUGGCUUUGACAGGAAGAUCUGCCGGAACUUGCCCAUGAGACACGCAGGAGAUGCUCUCAUCACUUGUAUGCCAUAAUCAGCUCUGGGGGAUGUCCUGAACAUUUUCACCUGUGAUAUCUGAAGGUUACUGCCUGUUGGGCAGAUCAGAACCGAGACCUGACAUCAACUGUUUUCUGCAGGAAGCCAUACGUGGCAACAAGCAGAAGGAGGCAUAAUCCCUGUUGUCUCUCUUGCCAAAGUUGACAUCAGGGAGAGAUAAGGACAUUUGAGGCUCUUCAACAGAAUCUUUGCUUGGAUUUUCUGUUUGCUUGGGGAAACUUCAUUUUCUUCAAACAUAUGUUUGAGUUCAUUCUGCAGUCAGUCAGGGAUCAAGCAGACUGGUAAGAAGCAUGUAGAUGAAGACAUGUAAGUACUUGUAGAGUGAAAAGAAGACUGAGAGAAGAAACAUGAAAGGAAGAAGAAAGACAACUGCCACCCAAAAUGGAGCAACUGGAAAACUGAGAGCUAUGCCUGUGAUUAGAUGCGAUAAUAUACACGUGCGAAUAUGAUGCAGGAGUUAAGUAAAUGAAGAGAAGAAAAAGAGAAUUAAUAUUUAAUAUAUCAGAGAUCAAGAACAUUGUAAAAAAUGGCCUUUACUAUAGAAAUGUUUGCUUGCCGUUGGACUAAAGCUUAUGAGGAAUCCUUUAAAAGAAACACUUCUGCUAUAUCUAAGUGCAGCAAACAUUUUUCAUUAGUUUUGGCAAACAUGCUGCUGGUAACGUCUGACACUUCCAAUCCCAUCAUAAGAGACUAUUAAAUCUGAUCAGAAGAACAGCAUUCAGCUGAAGGUCAUGUAACUGGAUGGAAAAUGUAUGUGGAGCAGCUGAGGUCCCUUGAUUUGUUCUGCCUAGCAAAGAGGAGACUUAGGGGAGACCAGAGCUGCCUAUGUCUUCCUCAUGAAAGGAGUGGAUGGGCAGGCACUGAUCUAUUCUCACAGUGUAGUUCUUCUUGUCCUGUCAGAUAAGGGCAUAUUGACUGACCAUCUAAUUACACUCUCAUUAAUACUGGACUGGUUGGAUGGGGCACUGGUCCACCUGUCUGAGUGUCUGAUUAAGUGUUUGGCAACUCUACCUGUGGCAGGGGGGUUGGAACUAGAUGAUGUUUGAGAUCCCUUUCAGUCCAAGCCAUUCUAUGAUAUGAUUCUAUGACUGUUUUGUGGGGACUUUGAACUAUGUAGUUGUGCAAUCUUUGGAAGUGAAUGUGGAUUGUGAACAACAUAUUCCUGUUAAUCAGGACCAGGAAAAAAACGAGUUCCUUACAGUGGCACCCAUAGAUCACCACAUCUACAGUGCCAGAACUUGGGCCAGAAUGGAAUAAGUGAAGUCACCUGAACCUCUUACUCUGAAGAAAGACCGGGAAAUUGUGCACAAGGCCUCCAUACUUUCCUGAAAGCAAAGAAACUUGAGUGGCUGAUUGCCAGGUGUACUGUGCCAAGAGUUACUGGGAUCUCCGACACAUUCCAGUGGGAGUAUUAACAGAUAUGUUUUAUCACUACCAAGAGAUCAAGGGCAAAACACACUACAAAGAGCAAGAGUAUUCUUGUCUUUCAAGCCAGCUGGUACUCAGGAUGGUCCAGAAGAGGAUGAGGAGAAGGGAGACCAGCUUUGUAGAUAUGGCUAUUGGAAUAGCAGAAGAAAGCACUUGGGUUUAGGAAUACCUACCACAGACUCCUUAGAAUUCCUCAGCCUAUGAAAAUGCAUGCGCCUUUUUUUGAAAGGGAUGGACUGUCAGCACAUAUAAGGCAUAUGGACAGUCCAAUAGUUCCAAUGUAUGUCCAACAGUCCAAUGUAGUUUUGAUGUGGAGCCAGACCAUUUACAAGUGGGAACCUUUUUUCUUGGUCAAUGUGGUAGGAACCUGUCAGAACAUCAUGGAGAUCUAUGAAGUAACUGCAGAUUAAUGUGACUGAAAAUGAGAGAAUUUGAUCUGCUGUCUGUUGGAGAGGAAAGUUGAAAUAAUGAGACCAGAGUGCAAAGGGACCAAUAGAAAUGGAAGAAGGACUGCCAUUUGGAAGCAGUACAAAUUGAAGUGAAGAAAAUGAUUUCAUCUUUAACAGUCUCCAGGAAGAUUCCUGUGUAAGCAACCCACCUAUGUUUUCAUAUGUUCAUCAAUGAACCUGUAAAAAAAUUGUCUCAGAAAGGAAAAUCCCAAGGCUACCAGGAUCUGCAGGAAAAGAUCAAUGGCUCAAAGUCUGUUGAGUGGACAGUUAGGAAUGGCUUUUCCUAGCACUCUAUACUAGGGUGCUUUUGUUCAACUUCUCCAUCAAUUACCUGCAUGGUAUGUCAUUGUCUCAGCAUCUUCUAGGGUAACACCGCAUGGAAGAGAGGUAUAAUCCGUAUUAGAAGGGAAGAAUACUGCUGUUCAGAAGUGUCUAGAUGAAUUGGAAUUAUGGGCCAGCACAGAACACCUGAAACUCAACAAACAAAAAUGCUGUAUGUUGAAUAGUAAGAACGUAUGCAAUAGCACAGGCUAGAAACUGGCUGGAGAACACCUUUGCUGAAACGUAUCUGGAUGUUCACUUGGACACAAAUGUGAAACUCUUUAAUAGUGGGUCUGGUCAAAUGCUGGAACAGGUUGCCCAGAGAGGCUGCAGAAGAAUCUGUCUUUGGAGAUAUUCAAAACCUGCCUCCAAAAGAUCCUGAACACACGACUACUCUACUACAAAAUAUUCUAGGUGGCCAUGUUUUAAGCUGAACCAGAUGAUGCCCAGAGACCCCAGAAUACACUGUUUUUGCGUCAGCAAGAAACCACUACUGCAAUGAAAACUAGCUGAACUGCAUUUGUGAGAUCUAAGCCAGCAAGUCAAAGGUUCGGACAGUGUUCUGUUUUACUACAUUAGUUCUCACAGAAAUGCAUCUCUACUCACCAGUGAAUUAUCCUGAAUCUAAUAUACGUUUUGGAUCGUAUUUCGUUUAUCUGCAGUAGAGAUGCUGAGGAUACCAUAAGCACUUAUAUAUACAGAAAUGUCUGACAGUAUUUCAAACCAUGGAAGGAUUAGGAAUAAUUCCCAAACGGGUCUGAUUUUCUGUCACAUUGUCAACUCUUCGAAGCAAUGAUGAUUGUAAAUGUUGCACAUCAGAUAUGUGGGAGGCAUCGUGCUCACUGGCCCUCGUCCUGGUGGGGGACUUCAAUCAUCCGGACAUCUGUUGGAAAGACCACAUGGCGAGCUGCAAGAGGUCCAGAAGGCUCGUGGAAUCCGUUGAUGACAACUUUCUGGUCCAGGUAGUGGACAGACCAACCAGAGGUGAAGCGUUGCUGGACCUGCUGCUCACCAAUGCAGAAGAGAUCAUCAAAGAUGUCAAUGUUGAAGGCAGCCUGGGCUGCAGCAACCAUGCCCUGGUUGAGUUCGUGAUCUUGAGGGAUGUGGGCCUGACAAAGGGUGGGGUCAGGACCCUGAACUUUGGAAGAGUGAACUUUAAGCUGUUCAAUGGAUUGUUGGCCAAGAUCCCCUAGGAUGCUGUCCUUAAAGAUAAAGAUGUUGAGGAGAGCUGGCCACUCUUCAAGGAUGCCCUCCUGAAAGCACGAGAGGUCUCCAUCCCUCUGAAUAGGAAAGUGGGCAGACGAGACAGGAAACCGGCAUGGCUCGGCAACGACAUGCUGGGCACACUGAGGGCAAAGAAAGGAAUGAUGACAUCAACUGAACAAAAUAUGAACUGAUUGAGGGCUUGUGACUUUUAAGGAUUUAUUUCAAAGAUCACAGUUACUGAAUGCAUUUUAUUUGACAUCAGAACUGCCUGCAGUUAUAGUAAGUUCAAGGACUUUCCCAUAACCAACCUGAUUUGAACUGUUACUGCUGUUACUGCAUAUCUUUUCCAGGGAAACAGAACAAAUGGAUCACUCAGAGGUGAAUCAUAGAAUCAUCUAGUUUGGAAAAGAUCUUCAAGAUAAUCAGGUCCAAACAUCCACAUAAAGCAUCAAGUCCUGCCUUUUCCUAAAUGCCACAUCCACAUAUCUGUUAAAUACCUCCAGGGCAAAAAAACCUGUAAUUGCAAAAAUCCUAUGAUGCUUCACCAAAUUAACUUCCUUUAAUCCUUAGCUUCCAAAGUGUCAAGCAAUAUGUAGGAAAAUCACAGCAGAAAAGGGGAAACACUGAUGGUUGAUUAAGUCAUCUGUAGAGACUUCACACUCAGAAGUCCCCCAGCUGAGUUAUGCCCCUUCGUCACGGAAUUCACACCCCACCCCCUCCACUGACGCAAACUUCAGAGAGCAGCUCCAUGGAGGAUAACCUAAGUGCUGCCUGCAGAGCUAAGUGUGCUGUCCUUGCUUGUUAUUGUAGCAUUGAUAUACAUAUCUUCCUUUCCUCAUUUGUUAUAUCCUAAUGUCAUUAGGACAAGCCUGCAGCAAUUUUAAACGCUGGCUGCACAGCCUCUUUGACGUCAUUACAGAAAGGUCUCGAGUGCAGACCCUGCAUAUACUGUCUGUGAUAUAGUGUAUAAAAAUCCAUGUCAGUGCUGGCUCUCGGGGAGCACUGGAAAUGAUUCAGCUGUCUGGAAUGGGCAGAUGGCUGCUAUCAAAGUUUUAUUAUCACCAUCAUUAUUAUUACAGUGGUUUGUGACACAUGCUGAACUUUAAGACUGGUGUAAAAGCUUAAGUAUUUGAGCAACACUUUCUGAAAUUCAAAUCCUUCAAAUCCUUUCCAAUCUAACUCCAAAAAGCAGGAGUACGUUUCAAGCUAAUUAGACAUAUUGCUUGGUUUCACUUCCAACUUUCAGAGUAAUUAUCUCAAAAUUCUUGUUCUCUUGUAAACGCAAAUGUUCACUAUUUUUAAUUGCCUUGAUUUAUUGCAGAACUUAAAUUCAGUACAUGCUGAAAGUUCAGCAGGGUGGAAAGAAAAUUUGAGUUUGUUUAAGGGAGCACAUGGAUAGGAUUGUGUACUGUGGCCUCUGUUUAGAAAAGCUCAUCGUUAACCUAUGCUAACAGGAACUGCUUGCUGGAGGCAUCCUCUAAAACUAACCAUACCGAGGAGUACAGAAUUAAUUGAUACAGAUUUCUUCAACUUGCAACAUGAACAGAUUUACUUGGAUGUUGUAAGAGUGACAUUUCGUUUUCAUCUCUGUAGCUGCUACCUCUGCUGCUUUGUGUAUUUGAAUAUUUCAGUUCUCACAGGGUUCUCUUCUGACGCAUCAGUAGACGGCUGAAGGUUUUUCUCGGUCAUCCUGAGACUGGCUCAGACUAUGUUAUGUUGGCUGUCUGUCUGUGCUUUGUACUUGUCUUUCGUACGGCCUCCAUGGCUCACCAGCAUGAGCAUCAUCCUUGUUGGAAUUAUGGUGACCUCUGGCAGACAAGCAAGUAGGAAGUUGGGAGUCAUGAAUUCUGACACUGUUCCAAUGCCAAAUGUGGCACAAUGGGUCGAAGUUACUUUGAGGGUGUCCAUAGCUGCACUGAGGAAACCACAACUAUGCAGGUAUCUGCUUGCAAAAAUAGUAUUAUUUCACGAGGCAUAUUCUCUGCUAUUUGUGAAUGAAUGGGACAAGUAUACUGACAACACAGUUUGACAGAAUGGAUAAACAAAUCUGUAUCCUUCUUUGACCAGGACAUCACAUCCUAAAAAUAUGUAUGACAGAGCUGCAGUUUACACUAUAUUUCUUUCAUCAGUUGGACUUUAUAGCCAAUAGGAAAGAAGCAUAGUGUUGUUCCCUGCCUGGAUUUAUGGCCUUGCCUUCAUUAUUUCUAUAAUUCUUUAUUGCUGCAAGUCCUGGGAAAGCUUAUAUUUCAGCAAGAUAUUCUUGGUAAUGGUCUGACAAAGAUGUAACUGAGUCCUCUAAGAGUGAUGACCAAUCAGAUGAAAGCCUGUCCCGAUGUAUCCUGAGGCAUUUGUUCAGGUCUUGCCCUGGACUGAUGCAGGCAGCCACUUCCUAUGGCCCUGCUAUGGUUGGACAACACGUAUGGAAAUGGUCAGACGUGAACAGGAAGGUGCUUUCCUAAUCUGACACUACUCUGAAAAAGAAUUACAAGAACUACUAUUUCAAUCAAAAAAAUGUUUGACCUUGCUUAUAUGGACUUGGAUCAAAAUGACAGUGUAAAGAACAAUAUAUUCAGUUGCUCAGCAAAGCCCAUAGAAUUCUGCAUACUGCUUGGAAAUGCAACCCCAGUAAAAUCAGGGAAUUAGGAGCUGUGUCGGAAAACAUAUCUGGACUCCAUUUCACAUAUUCUCUGAGGUACUAUUAAAAACUUGGUUAUGUCAUAAAUGUAUUUGUUGAAAUGAUUUAUAUGUCUGAUGGAAAGUGGCACUUCAUCAGGAUUACAAUUUUGUUUUGUGUUUUUUUCUUUUUCCUGAUAUAUUCUAGAUUCACUAAAAUAUUCAUCAAGAGAGAUUCUAUGACUCCAAGGCAGAAUUUAAUGGGACCAGAACUGAGGCGGAUUGUUGAGGAUGCUUGUACAGAGGCCAUAAUGUCUGUAUAAAAUGUUAUAACUUGCAAUCAUAUUCCUGACCUGAUCCAGCAGGAAUGAUAUAAAUACCAGUGUUUUAGCUGGUCUGGGAUAGGCAUUAAUCUACCUCCUGCUUUCACUGAUACAAAGAGGAACAAAGAAAUAUAUAUCUCCAAUAAUUAUACAAGAUAUCCUCCAGCAGUAAUGCCUCCUAUUUUAUGACAUUGGCCAUGGUGUCAGAGGCACAUGUUGGUGGUAUGGCAGUAGAGCUUGAAACUCCCUGCCAAAGUUCCAUUCCAUUCUCUUGCUGUGUGAUGGUUGGCAGCAGAGGGGCAGUCUGACAGAACGUUGUCUGGCAUAGAAGUGAACAUGAAGUAAAGGUGUGUUGCUGAAUUCCUCCAUAUGGAAAAAAUAGCACCCAUUUACAUUCACUGGUGCUUGCUGAAUGUUUCUGGAGACCAAACAGUGAAUGUGAGUACAG